UGGGGAAUAUUGCGCAAUGGGCGAAAGCCUGACGCAGCGACGCCGCGUGAGGGAUGACGGCCUUCGGGUUGUAAACCUCUUUCGACAGGGACGAAUUUGACGGUACCUGUAAAAGAAGCACCGGCUAACUACGUGCCAGCAGCCGCGGUAAUACGUAGGGUGCGAGCGUUGUCCGGAAUUAUUGGGCGUAAAGAGCUCGUAGGCGGUCCGUCGCGUCGAAUGUGAAAACCCGGGGCUCAACUCCGGGCUUGCAUUCGAUACGGGCGGACUAGAGUUCGGUAGGGGAGACUGGAAUUCCUGGUGUAGCGGUGAAAUGCGCAGAUAUCAGGAGGAACACCGGUGGCGAAGGCGGGUCUCUGGGCCGAUACUGACGCUGAGGAGCGAAAGCGUGGGGAGCAAACAG
rnacentral:rRNA from 1 species